GAUGAACGCUAGCGGCAGGCUUAAUACAUGCAAGUCGAGGGGCAGCACGGGGCGAACCCUCGUGGCGACCGGCAACGGUAGCGGAACACGUACGCAACCUUCCCAAACUAGGUGAAUAGCCCUCCGAAAGGAGGAUUAAUACACCGUAACAUAAUGAAGUGGCAUCACUUUAUUAUUAUAGCUCCGGCGGUUUUGGUAUGGGCGUGCGCCUGAUUAGGUAGUUGGCGGGGUAACGGCCCACCAAGCCUGCGAUCAGUAACUGGUGUGAGAGCACGACCAGU
rnacentral:rRNA from 1 species